rnacentral:rRNA from 1 species
UACAGAGGUCCCAAGCGUUGUUCGGAUUCAUUGGGCGUGAAGGGUGCGUAGGCGGCGCGGUAAGUCGGGUGUGAAAUCUCGGGGCUUAACUCCGAAACUGCAUUCGAUACUGCCGUGCUUGAGGACUGGAGAGGAGACUGGAAUUUACGGUGUAGCGGUGAAAUGCGUAGAUAUCGUAAGGAAGACCAGUGGCGAAGGCGAGUCUCUGGACAGUUCCUGACGCUGAGGCACGAAGGCCAGGGGAGCAAACGGG